GAACAGGGUUCCUGCCCUGUGGACAUGAGGAUUCUCAACCUGCUAAUAAUGAGCUACCUAUCUAGGGUAGCUAUUGGGACCUACCUAUCUAGGAAUAAACCAUCCUAGCCAUGAGAGACCCGAUGAAACCUCAGACCAGAGACUCAUUUUCUUCUAAAAUGCUUUCUCCAAAAGAUUUUUAAAAAGAAAAGGGGGAAAUGUGAAAGGAAACUGUCUUGGGCCCCCCAAAAUCAUGAAGCUAAAGAGAAAAGUCAAGCUGGGAACGGCUUAGGGCAAACCUGUCUCCCGUUCUAUUCAAAGUCACCCCUCUGCUUACUGAGAUAGAUGCAUAUCUAAUUGCCUCCUUUGGAGAGGCUUAUCAGAAACUCAAAAGAAUGCAACCAUUUGUCUCUCACCCACCUGUGACCUGGAAGCCCCCUCCCUGCUUGAGUUGUCCCACCUUACCAGACUGAACCAAUGUUCGUCUUACAUAUGUUGAUUGAUGUCUCAUGUCUCCCUCAAACGUGUAAAACCAAACUAUGCUCUGACCACCUCGGCACAUGUCACCAGGACCUUCUGAGGCUGUGUCAUGGACGCGAGUCCUCAAACUUCGCAAAAUAAACUCUCUAAAUGAACUGAGACCUGUCUGAGAUAUUCGGGGUUCACAGUUUGCUGUCUCUCUUCACUAGGAGAGUUGUUCCGUGAAGGCCGGGAUCUCUUUUACUGAGUGAUGUAUUCCAAGUGCCUGGAGCAAUGUCUGGCAUGUAGAAGGAAUUCCGUACGUGCAUUAAAUUAAUGAACUAGCCUCC
rnacentral:lncRNA from 1 species